UUACAACACUUCUAAGAGCAUGGGGAGCCUGGAGGAGUCGUGAGUGACCCGUGCCAAUGCCCUGCAGAGGAGGGGUGAGUGGGCCAUUUGGCCUCGGGGGUCUGCUUCCACUUCUUCACCAUCCACUGCUUCCAACACCAGCUGGCUGAAGAGAGCUGCCAGAGAUCCAGAGAGUCCCCUCGGAGCAGCUCUGCCUCAGGAUUAAGAUCCUGGGUGUGUUUGUGGAGCGGCUGUUGGAGUCUGUUCUUUCGGAGGAUACCCCCAGCCAUGGGCAGUCUGGACGCGGCCAAGCAAUGUCUGCAAGACCUGGGGGCUCUGACGGCUGACGAGAAGCUCACCCCUCUGAACUACCACCUGGCCUGUCUGCCCAUGGACGUCCGCAUUAGCAAACUCAUGCUGUUUGGUGCCAUCUUCCGCUGCCUGGACCCUGCCCUCACAGACGCUGCCAGCCUGGCCUUCCCCCUUCAAAAAGCACUUUUUACUACUGUUUGCCUGAGUUUACUAAUGGCAGUCUAUCAGAGCCUUGGGUUGAAUUGGAAUGAGUAGAAAUGUGAACUUCCGUGAGGCUUUCCAUUUUCACACAGACGGUCACAAGUUUCUCUCUCCUAUUCCCCCUCUCCUGUUUUUUCUCUUCUUUUUUUUCUCCUCUCCUGCAGUGUUUUCUUCCUGUGGCCAGGUGUCUCCUUGGGAUAAGAGGGAGGAGGCCAAUGAGAAUAAGCUGAGUUACGCCCUGGCUAACAGUGACCAUCUGGCCCUGCUGCAGGGAUACAAGGCCAACCGCAACUCUGACAACAUUGACAACAUCAGGUUGCUCUGUGCUGCCCUUUAUCCCAAUGUAGUUCAGGUGAGGUCUCCUCAUGAGAAGUUCAAGCAGACCAGUAAAGGUGCGGUGAAGAUGAAGACGAGCUGCGCUACAUGA
ensembl:lncRNA